rnacentral:rRNA from 1 species
UACGUAGGGGGCUAGCGUUGUCCGGAAUCAUUGGGCGUAAAGAGCGUGUAGGCGGUUCGGUAAGUCCGCUGUGAAAGUCGGGGGCUCAACCCUCGGAUGCCGGUGGAUACUGUCGGGCUAGAGUGCGGAAGAGGCGAGUGGAAUUCCUGGUGUAGCGGUGAAAUGCGCAGAUAUCAGGAGGAACACCUGUGGCGAAGGCGGGUCUCUGGGCCGAUACUGACGCUGAGAAGCGAAAGCGUGGGGAGCGAACAGG